UGUGUAAUGGCAUGAAUGUGUUGAAUUAGUAAUCCCUUGUGUUAAGCCGUUGUUUUAGUGUUCUUUUGAUGAGUUUGGCUUGUUGUUAUGAAAAGUGUUUGUUUUGGCGACUUUGAACGUUUUUGAGCAUGUGUAAUGGCAUGAAUGCGUUAAGCUGUUUAUUUAGUGUUCUUUUGAUGAGUUUGGCUUGUUGUUAUGAACAUUGUUCGUUUUGGCGAGUUUGAACGUUUUUGAGCAUGUGUAAUGGCAUGAAUGCGUUAAGCUGUUGUUUUAGUGUUCUUUUGAUGAGUUUGGCUUGUUGUUAUGAAAAGUGUUUGUUUUGGCGAGUUUGAACGUUUUUGAGCAUGUGUAAUGGCAUGGAUGUGUUAAGCUGUUGUUUUAGUGUUCUUUUGAUGAGUUUGGCUUGUUGCUAUGAACAUUGUUCGUUUUGGCCAGUUUGAAGGUUUUUGAGCAUGUGUAAUGGCAUGAAUGCGUUAAGCUGUUGUUUUAGUGUUCUUUUGAUGAGUUUGGAUUGUUGUUAUGAAAAGUGUUUGUUUUGGCGAGUUUGAACGUUUUUGAGCAUGUGUAAUGGCAUGAAUGCGUUAAGCUGUUGUUUUAGUGUUCUUUUGAUGAGUUUGGCUUGUUGUUAUGAACAUUGUUCGUUUUGGCCAGUUUGAACGUUUUUGAGCAUGUGUAAUGGCAUGAAUGCGUUAAGCUGUUGUUUUAGUGUUCUUUUGAUGAGUUUGGCUUGUUGUUAUGAAAAGUGUUUGUUUUGGCGAGUUUGAACGUUUUUGAGCAUGUGUAAUGGCAUGAAUGCGUUAAGCUGUUGUUUUAGUGUUCUUUUGAUGAGUUUGGCUUGUUGUUAUGAACAUUGUUCGUUUUGGCCAGUUUGAACGUUUUUGAGCAUGUGUAAUGGCAUGAAUGCGUUAAGCUGUUGUUUUAGUGUUCUUUUGAUGAGUUUGGCUUGUUGUUAUGAAAAGUGUUUGUUUUGGCGAGUUUGAACGUUUUUGAGCAUGUGUAAUGGCAUGAAUGCGUUAAGCUGUUGUUUUAGUGUUCUUUUGAUGAGUUUGGCUUGUUGUUAUGAAAAGUGUUCGUUUUGGCCAGUUUGAAGGUUUUUGAGCAUGUGUAAUGGCAUGAAUGCGUUAAGCUGUUGUUUUAGUGUUCUUUUGAUGAGUUUGGCUUGUUGUUAUGAACAUUGUUCGUUUUGGCCAGUUUGAACGUUUUUGAGCAUGUGUAAUGGCAUGAAUGUGUUGAAUUAGUAAUCCCUUGUGUUAAGCUGUUGUUUUAGUGUUCUUUUGAUGAGUUUGGCUUGUUGUUAUGAAAAGUGUUUGUUUUGGCGAAUUUGAACGUUUUUGAUCAUGUGUAAUGGCAUGAAUGCGUUAAGCUGUUGUUUUAGUGUUCUUUUGAUGAGUUUGGCUUGUUGUUAUGAACAUUGUUCGUUUUGGCCAGUUUGAAGGUUUUUUAGCAUGUGUAAUGGCAUGAAUGUGUUGAAUUAGUAAUCCCUUGUGUUAAGCCGUUGUUUUAGUGUUCUUUUGAUGAGUUUGGCUUGUUGUUAUGAAAAGUGUUUGUUUUGGCGAGUUUGAACGUUUUUGAGCAUGUGUAAUGGCAUGAAUGUGUUGAAUUAGUAAUCCCUUGUGUUAAGCUGUUGUUUUAGUGUUCUUUUGAUGAGUUUGGCUUGUUGUUGUGAAAAGUGUUUGUUUUGGCGAGUUUGAACGUUUUUGAGCAUGUGUAAUGGCAUGAAUGCGUUAAGCUGUUGUUUUAGUGUUCUUUUGUUGAGUUUGGCUUGUUGUUAUGAACAUUGUUCGUUUUGGCCAGUUUGAACGUUUUUGAGCAUGUGUAAUGGCGUUAAUGUGUUGAAUUAGUAAUCCCAUGUGUUAAGCCG